UACAUAUCCGUUUAACUGCUACUGACAAAUUUAAAUUACACAAAACUUGAAAUAGUCUCAUUUAAAAGUUGAUUACAAGAUAAAACCAUUGGACCCCUUUUUUCCCUUAAUAUAUAUAUAUAUAUAAAAAAAAAAAUAAUAAUGAAAAUUUCCCACACCCUGAGACUGGUUGGUAGGGUUUGUGACAAACAGCAAUAAGAAGUCUGUCCUAAAUUAGUGAUCAAUAAAUAUACACUUCUAUAAACUUUUGUCCUUUAAAUUGUGGUACUUUAUUGCAAAAUCUGUAUUCAUGCAGUACAUGCAUAUCUGAUU
rnacentral:lncRNA from 1 species